GAAUCAGGCCCCGGAGGCGCGGGCGGCCGCGGGGAGAUGGCGGCCGGGGGAGGCGGGGAGCAGGGCUCGGCCGUGCUGGAGCUGCCUCGCGGCCCGCGGCUGGUGUGCGUGGAGUACCCGGGCCUGGUGCGCGACGUGGGCAAGAUGCUGCAGACUCUGGGGGGAGAAGAGGGGGUGUCCCGGAUCUAUGCCGACCCUGGAAAAAGGCUCGAGUUGUACUUCCGCCCCAAGGAUCCCUACUGCCAUCCUGUGUGUGCCAACCGCUUCCCUACCUCCUCCAUGCUGUUCAAGGUAAAGAGGAAGAUCAGGAGGAAGCAGCUGGAAGCUGAAGGAGAAACCCAACAGGAAGUCAAGUUUGAAAUGGAAGUUCUUGGGGUUGUCUCUACUGUUUACAAAUUUCAAGGAAUGUCUGAUUUCCAGUACCUGGCAAUGCAUUCUGGACCUGAGAACAAACAGAUCUCUAUGUAUAACAAGAUCUUGAUGCUCAAACCAGAAAAGGAGGAAUUCUUCAAUAGAGAAUUACCCCUCUACAUCCCCCCACCUAUUUUUUCACGUCUGGAUACCCCUAUAGACUAUUUCUAUCGGCCAGAUGUACAACACCGGGACGGCUACAACAAUCCCCAGGUGUCUUGUGAGAACCUGAUCGGCCUCAGCAGGGCCCGCCGACCACACAAUGCCAUCUUUGUGAACUUCGAUGAUGAUGACAUCCCGACUAAGCCGCUAGAGCCUGCAGUGCAGACCUGGAAGAAAGUGUGCACCAAUCCUGUGGAUAAAAGCGUGGAGGAAGAGCUGAGAAAGCUGUUUGAGAUUCGUCCCGUCUGGUCUCGGAAUGCUGUAAAGGCCAAUAUCAGUGUCCAUCCGGACAAGCUUAAAGUUCUGCUACCGUAUUUGGCCUAUUAUAUGCUCACAGGUCCCUGGAGAAGCCUGUGGGUUCGGUAUGGGUAUGACCCCAGGAAACAUCCCGAAGCAAAGAUUUAUCAAGUCCUGGACUUCAGAAUUCGCUGUGGAAUGAAAUAUGGUUACGCCCCUAGUGACAUGCCCGUGAAAGCAAAACGCAGCACAUACAAUUACAGUCUGCCCAUCACUAUCAAAAAACCAGUAAGUCACACAGUCAGCGUACAGGACCUAAAACAUGGGCUGGACCCAGCGAGUACAUCCAGUGCAAAAAAACCUGCUUCUAGCAGGUACAAACUUAAAGACUCCAUCUAUAUCUUCCAGGAAGGAGAUCUGCCUCCAUAUCGACAGAUGUUCUAUCAGCUCUGUGACUUGAACGUGGACAGCUUACAGAAAAUCAUCCAUCGGAAUGAUGGCAUGGAGACAGAAUGCACAGAACGGGAUGGAUGGUGCCUUCAAAAGACCAGUGAUGAUCUGAGGGAUACCAUGUCUCUGAUGAUAAAGCAUAUCAUCAGAUCCACAAGACCCGCUCUGUUUUCGAGUACGUCGAACGCUGAAGAUGGCAAAGAACGGCUGACGUAUGACUCUGGAGAGGAGGAGGAGGAAGAUGAAGAGGAGGACUUCAAGCCUUCUGAUGGGAGCGAGAAUGAAAUGGAAACAGAGAUCCUGGACUAUGUGUGACACAAUAUACAUAGUACAGCCGAUAUCCCCAAAAUGAUUGAGUCAACAGAAACAUUUUGGUAAACUGGACAGUCAGUAGUUCUUCUUUAAUGUACAUCUCAUUGCCUACUACCUCCCCGAUAGAAACCAUCGUCUGCAGCACGCCACUUUCCGUUUUUUCUUUCUUCCUCUUCGUUUUUCUGGGUAAGGAAAGAGGAAUCUAUUAAGUGCGGAAACCUUGUUGGUACUGCAACAUAAAGGUUGCAAAUCUGAAUGCACACCUAUUUGGGAAAUACUCAUUUUAACAUUCCAAUAGAACGACUUUACACCUAUUUUAUACAGAGUUCUACAUUUAGCCAUUGAAAAUACCAUUAAGGGGUAUGUCUGGGUGAUUCAUUGUUGCCAUUAGAACCUUAAUGUUUGCACUUCCUGAUUCAUGAGUUCAAAUUUGCAACUUCCCUGUUGUACUAACAUAGAUUUUGCAUUUUUUUCUCUUUUGACCAGGAUUUAAAGAACAGAAACAACUUUAUCUGUAAUGCUAUAAUAUUGUUCAAUACUGAUUUACACAACUCAUUAUCUUUUAAAUGUUUCCACUAUAGAGAUACCAAAAAUAUACCUGGAGCACUGUGGAGUUAAUCAAUAGUUGCAGGCAGCAAUAUAACAAAACAAACGUUUUUUAUUUGCAAUGUACUUUAAAAUAUAUAUUCUCAAACAUACCGUUGAUCCUACAUGCAUUCUUGGUGCAUCCAAAACUCAUUGAAAUCAGUGGGAAUUUUGGGUGUGUCAGGCAUUUAGGUUCAGGCACAAUGUAACUAUUCCCCAGUGGUUUGUUUUUAAUGAUCAUGUUUUAAUUUUGUAUUUAAUUUUGCUGCUGAUUUUUUUUUUUUAUAAAACAAAUGGAAUCUCUUUCCCACCAAUUGCCUACGUCAGUAGCUGACCAGACCUUAAGUCAACUUUCAGCACAGUGAACCACUUAGAUACAGGUGAGAUGAAAUGUGGAAAGUUCCAACCCAAACAGAACAUUUUUGAGACAAUUUUGAUCAAGUGCACAGAACGGGCUGCUUACAAUGGCAGCGGAGUUGAAGCAUGCCUUGUGUGUGAUAUAGCUAGACUCAAAUACAAGCAAAGUCAGUUACAACUUAUUCUUCAGUAUUAUGCAUUCAUUUGGGACAAAUUUUCUGUUCUCUCAACUCCUUUGUACUGUUUUGUGAAUUCGGGAAAGCGAUGGAACUGCGGGGCAGCCUGCAGCGUAGCUGCAUAAGGGAUAUUCCACAUCCUGUGUGUGGCAGAGCCCUGUCUUACGGUCUUCCCACAGGAGUCUGAAUGGGCAUGUCAGGAAGGGAAGAGAGGGACGGGGAAGCAGUUCUGCAAACUGUUGAUCCACUGGCCCCAACGCGUGUGUACUGGUGGGCUGUGGUUAAGUAGGAAGGCAAAGUAGCAAGGGGCUGGUUUUGUUUUUAACUUUGGAUAAGGUAAGUAAUGGAAAUGGGAAAUUCCAGCUACUGAGUGCAGACAGCUAACGUGUACCCAGAGAGUUUGAAUGGGGCUGGCCUUUGUUUCUCUCGCCAACGCUCAUCUUCCCCUUACUGGUAUCUGUGUAGCUUUCAUCCAGUGAAACAAGAGCCACCCAGCUUUCUCCUCUCUGCUGUGUCUCCCUGAGCAGCUCAUGCCUCCUCAGUAAUGCUGAAGGGUAAGAAUUAUUCUUCUGUACAGCUGCUGGCCGGAUACUGGGGAGCCCAUUGUGAUGAUUUUGGCAGCAGGUGGUGGCAAAUAUUUAGCUUUUGCAUCUCAUCUGUUAUAUCUUGACUGUAAGAUUCUCUGCAGAGUAAUUUAAGGUCCAGUUCUGUUUGUUAUGAGUCAACCUCACUUCUCCCGUAGCCCCUGAAGUGGCCAGUUAGGGUAAGUCUGAUAAUUAGGCUCCAUUGAGAAUCCCAAUAUGU